GUAGGGAAUCUUCGGCAAUGGACGAAAGUCUGACCGAGCAACGCCGCGUGAGUGAAGAAGGUUUUCGGAUCGUAAAACUCUGUUGGUAGAGAAGAACGUUGGUGAGAGUGGAAAGCUCAUCAAGUGACGGUAACUACCCAGAAGGGGACGGCUAACUACGUGCCGG
rnacentral:rRNA from 1 species